UUGAAACAUUGUAAAGGAGAGUUGAGCUGGUCCUUCACGGGCAAGUGCUCGCUUUUCUUUCAAUCUUCAUCCACCUGUGCACUUUUUGUAGAGAGUCUUGAGAAAGUGGCCUUGUAACAGAGGUCUCGAGUAUUGGGCUUUCUAUGUCUUUACAAACUCUGAAUGUAUGUCUUUGAAUGUCUUUUACAGGGACUUAAUUGACCCUUAUAAAAACUAUA
rnacentral:misc_RNA from 1 species